CCCACGGGUGGCAGCAGUGGGGGAUAUUGCACAAUGGUGGGGACCCUGAUGCAGCGACGCCGCGUGGAUGAAGGAGUGCUUCGGCAUGUAAAGCCCUAUCGGCAGGGAAGAAGCAAGACGGUACCGUACUGAGAAGCCCCGGCUAACUACGUGCCAGCAGCCGCGGUAAUACGUAGGGGGCGAGCGUUAUCCGGAUUCACUGGGUGUAAAGGGAGCGUAGACGGCCAUGCAAGCCAGGGGUGAAAGGCCGGGGCCCAACCCCGGGACUGCCCUUGGAACUGCAUGGCUGGAGUGCGGGAGGGGCAGGCGGAAUUCCUGGUGUAGCGGUGAAAUGCGUAGAUAGCAGGAGGAACACCGGCGGCGAAGGCGGCCUGCUGGACCGCGACUGACGUUGAGGCUCGAAAGCGCGGGGAGCGAACAGGAUUAGAUACCCCUGUAGUC
rnacentral:rRNA from 1 species